rnacentral:rRNA from 1 species
UACGAACCGUGCGAACGUUGUUCGGAAUCACUGGGCUUAAAGGGCGCGUAGGCGGGCGUGCAAGUCAGGGGUGAAAUCCUCCGGCUCAACCGGAGAACAGCUUUUGAUACUGCACGUCUCGAGUGGGGUAGGGGCAUGUGGAACUUCCGGUGGAGCGGUGAAAUGCGUAGAUAUCGGAAGGAACGCCGGUGGCGAAGGCAGCUUACUGGACCACGACUGACGCUGAGACACGAAAGCGUGGGUAGCAAACAGG